UACAGAGGUCUCAACCGUUGUUCGGAUUCAUUGGGCGUAAAGGGUGCGUAGGCGGUCGCGCAAGUCGGAUGUGAAAUCUCAGGGCUCAACCCUGAAACUGCAUUCGAUACUGCGUGGCUAGAGUGCUGGAGAGGAGACUGGAAUUUACGGUGUAGCAGUGAAAUGCGUAGAUAUCGUAAGGAAGACCAGUGGCGAAGGCGGCCAACUGGACGAGUACUGACGCUGAGACACGAAAGCGUGGGGAGCAAACAGG
rnacentral:rRNA from 1 species